CAGAGAGAAAGGUCGGGUUACCCUCAAAGGGAAGCCCAUCAGACUUUGUUUUCUAAUUCUGCAGUUUGGAAGAUAUAGUUCUGGUGCCUAAAUACUGGAAAUUCAGGAAUUUGCUAAAGUUCUGUGGGAGAAUGUUUUGAGAAAAUUUAAGUGCAUGAUCAUUGGAUUACCUACUCUACUACAGACUUUAUAUGAGCCUCAGAAGAUUUGUCUGUGAAUACCACAGCCAUAGCCUUGAUCCUCAUCGAGUUGGGAGUUUCAUGAGAUUGUGGAACUAUACCUUGGUUCCUUUUCCAUAAGAUGGGACCAAGAAAUAUUUAAAACUAAAAACAGAUGUCACCUCACCCAAGGGCUUUCCCUAAAAGAUAAAAUUAAUGGAUGGUGUAGUGAUCAGUACUGUGGGUCCUAGUAGUCUAACUUAGGCCACUUAAUAUAAUCUGUAUUUAAAACUAAAUUUGAUAUGAACUUUGGAGUCUUUAAAAACUAUUUUUCUAUUUAACCUUUUUGUCUCUGUUUUAUCCUUGUUUUAUAGUUGUAAUUCUUUCUGAAAAGUUCUAAAUUAUUCUGGAGAACCAAAAGGAAGCAGGAUUUUUCCCCCUUUUAAGUCAGGAUAGACAGGGAAGCAAUAUGACUCUAGAUAAUUAACUUGGGAGUUCUGGCUGUCCUUGGGAGAGGGCCAGUGUCCCAGGAGGAAAGCCAGAUGGGGUCAGAGACCUCAAACUGACAGAUGUGGCAGUGGAGGGUUCCAGGAAGAAAGAUCAGAGCUUGCCCAGAAAAGAGAGCCACUUGCCCAGAUGCAAAACCCCAGAGGACUGAAGGUAAAGGCUUGUGCAGUAUUUUGGCUGAGUCAUGGGAGAAACUAGUCAGCAGCUAAGGUCAAGUUUAGGACAAAGAAACGCUGCACAAGGAGGCUGAGAAAGAAGAAACAGGAUAGGGGAGAAGAUGUCUGUAGGACCCUGAGGAGUCUUCAGGUUACAAACAAUAACAAACACCACCAAAGGACAGGCUUCAGAAAAAUGGAAAAUUGAUCUAACAAGGAAGAAGUAUUAUGAAGCAAUGUUAAAAAGAAAUUGGUAAUAAUUGCCAACAGAGAAAACCCUUCAAAGAGAGUUGCUGCUUUUCCUAAGGGUUUCCAAGGAUCCAAAAACCUUCGGAAGUUCCAAGGAUCAAGUCCCAGGAUCUAAGCUGGACCUUUCCUGGAACAAAUUCCUUCAGACAAAUUCUCCACCAGACCAUCAACUCAGGAGGGCAAACAAGGAACUUGUUUUCAAGAGCUGGAGCCAAACCACCCAGAGUUUCCUGUGCCAGGUGAGCAUGAAGAGGGGCCGAAGUCACCCAUUACUAACCCCUCACCCAUGACUGCCUGAAAGGUAUGUCUCAGGCUUUAACCAUGAAACCUGUUUCCUCUCUCCCCUCCAAAGUCCAGCCCAGAGAGGCAUGAUAAAAUCACUUAGCAAAUGGAAAAUAUUUUGUGCUUAUUCUAAGAAAUGUGAUCCAUCAAAAAUGAGCUGACAAGUCAUUUCAUUUCCAAGGACAGUGUCCACAUACUCCAGGCAGCCUCUGGACCUGGAAUAAGACACAUCUAAGCCACAGGCCAGUAAGGACCAUACAGCUAUAACGUUAUGAGUGAUUCUGUAGCAUGGUUUUAAGGCACCAGCUGCACAGUCAGACUGCCUGGUUUCAGCCCAGCUCCCUCAUUUGCUAGCUGUGAAAACUGGGUGAAUUGCUUAAGCAACCCUUAAUGACAUUUUGUUGUUUUAAAAACGGCAAUAAUAAUAAUACUCCCUUCUUCAUAUGAUUGUUUUGAGAUUUGGAUAAGGCAAUAGGUGCUUUAUUCGAUAAGGACCCUAGAACAUACAAAUCUAUUUUAAAAAUGCUAUUAAUAUGGUUUUGCCCUAAAAAGGCAGGUUCUUCUGUUUCUCAAAUCUGACAAAGUUUUGUCAGACUCUUGAAUUCUCAUUAAUAGUUCCAACACAGACUAUUAAUGCUGUUAGUUUUGACCAAAUACAUGACUCAUGAAUUAACUAACUCUUACUUGGUAAUCUGAAGGAAUCAAUAAAAUCCACACUUAAUUCCCCCUAAAUCAACUGAACAACUAUGGACUAUGGAAUUGGGGAGAUCUGUCUAAAUGGCAGCAAUAUCAACUACGAAAAAUAUUUAUUUAGAGUCUGGGUAGGUACCAAGUUCAAUGAACUGCUUAGAGAGUCUGUGUUGCUUUGGUGACUGUUCUAGGCAGUGCUAAUUUUGCUACAAUUUCCUUUCUUAAGUAAGUCACAACCAGAAUAAAAACAAAGUUCUAGAAAUCCCAUAUUUUUACAAACUGGAUUGAUGAAACCAGUUUUUAAAAUAUCAGAGGACCAGACUGAAAAAGAAACCAGGUGUAGCAAAAGGCAACUCUUCUGGAAACUGAAAAUUCAAAGAAACAUGGUAAUCUCACUGUAUUAAUUUUCUUUUCCUCUUGUAACAAAUUACCACAAGCUUAGUGGCUUAAAACAACACAAAUUUAUAUCCUACAGUUUGUGGAGAAGUAUGAAGUGGGUCUUCCAGGGCUAAAAUCAGUGCUGGUAGAGAGGGGGUACAGAGAAUCUGUUCCUAUUCUUUUCAGCUUCUAGAGAAAGCCUGGGUUCCUUGGCUCAAAGUUUCUUCCAGCAGGGGCAUCUCUCUGACCUCUGUUUCCACUGCCUCAGCUCCUACUCUCACUCGAACCCUCCUGCAUCCCUCUUAUAGGAACCCUUGUGAUUACACUGAGCCUUCUCAAUCAAUGCAGGAUAAUCUUCUAUCUAUCUCAAGACCCGUAAUGUAAUCACAUCUGCAAAGUCCCUUUUGCCAUUUGAGGUAACAAAUCCAUAGGCUCCAAGAAUUAAGAUAUGGACAUCUUUUAGGGGACCAUUCUUCUGACUACCAUACUCCCCUAGCUGAAGAAUUAUUGUGUGAAACAGGGAUAAAGGCAGAACUAAUAUAAAUGAGUCAAAGUGGCCAGGAGGUGAAAUUUGGCUCCAAACAGAAGAAUCUCAAUAAUGAUAAGAGGUGAGUGAAAAAGGACAGGAGCUUUUGAGGAGGAUGUGGGCUCUUUAUCACUAGGGCUGAGCCUCUCUUUCUAAACAUUCACUCCCUCUGCCCAUGUUGGGGUUUUGAUUGCAUGGCAUUUGAGGGUCUUUCCAAUUUUAAGCUUCCAGGUCUUUGAAAAUUUGGAAGGUGUGUCAGUCAGUGUAUAGGCUAGGCUAUGCUGGGUAACAACCAAUCCCCCAAAUCUCAGUGAUUUCAAUCAACACAUCCAUUGUUGGACUGCAUUAGCUCUGGUCGUUGUGGUCCUCUAGGGACUAAAGAGACACCACCACUGCAGACAUAGCUAGCCACAGUGCCAGCAGGAUAGAGAGUUCUGGAGGGUCUAGAAAGAGCAACUGAUACCCUGGUCCACAAGGGUCACACAACACUUACACUAACAGCUCCUCAGUCAGAACUAGUCACAAGUCUCUGGCCAACUAAAAGGAAGACCAGGAUAAAGAGCCAAUCUGGAAGGCAAAGAAACAGAAAUAUUGACGAGUGCAAAUAGUGACUGUGACAGGAAACAAUUGACCCUCUCCAUCAAUCAAUUCACAGAUUUUAGUCAUAAAAGGAGUCAUAAAACUCUUUUGACCCCUAAAGAGUUUUUCUAAACAGGGUGACGGUCAAUCGAUUAUCCUAGGCUCACUGAUGCAACAAGAUUGUCUUAAGCAUGUUCUUCUUUCUUGAUUUUAGCUCCAUGGUUAGGGUUUCACUUUCAAAAGAUUAAUAAUAAGGUGAUAAUGAUGAUGAUAAUGAUGAUGAUGAUGGUAAUGCAUGCUUUUUGAAAAUCACAGUGUACUGAGCAUUGUACUCAGCAUUUUCCACAUUUAUUUUUUGAAUCUCAGGCAUAGAGGCAUGAGUGAAUCACACUUCUGAUUUCAUAGCAUACUUCUAUUGUAAGACUCAUACAAAGACUCUCUCAUGGUGUAUUUUAUUCAUGUGUCCCCUCUCCUCAUUUUAUCAACCAUAAUGUCUUUGAUAUGAUACCUUAAUAUUUUGUAUAUUUUUGCAAAUUGUAUAGUGUUGUUGUUAUGUAGGUAUUUUUAAUUCUAUAAAAGUAUAUUCAUGUAUACUGGUUCUGUUUAUUUCUUCCUUACAUUCGGAUCUUACUGCAUUUAUGAGUAUAUGUCUCACGUAGUUAAUGUCUUAUAACAGUAACGUAAUAUUCCAUACUGUGUGUCCAUUAUAGUUCCCUUAGCUUUUCCCCUGCAAUGGAACAUCUAGGUUGUCUAAUGUUCCCUGAUACUUUAAACCAGGGGUCAGCAAACAUUUUUUAUAAAGAGUGACACAGUAAAUAUAUUUGGCUUUGGGGGUUCUGAAGUCUUGGUUUUAAGGAUUUUGCUGCUGUUAUACCAUAAAAGCAGCCAUAGACAGUGCACAAAUACAUGCCUGUGGACAUAUUUGGCCCAUUGGUCAUAUUUGACAAUCCCUAGUUCAAACACCAUGGUGAUGAAUAUCCUCUAUGUGUUCCCUUAUGAAAUUGGGGCUAGAUGUUCUCUCAAAUAUACUGUACAAACAAGAGUGAGAUUGCAGCAUCAUAAGAUAUGCCCAAACAUCAUUAGACUAAGUAUUUCUGGUUGCAUCAGCCUGUUCUCUUAACAACAGUUAAUAAAAAUAAGAGCCCUCAGAAAUAACG
rnacentral:lncRNA from 10 species